rnacentral:rRNA from 1 species
CCUACGGGUGGCAGCAGUGGGGAAUAUUGCACAAUGGGGGAAACUCUGAUGCAGUGACGCCGCGUGAAGGAAGAAGUAUUUCGGUAUGUAAACUUCUAUCAGCAGGGAAGAAAAUGACGGUACCUGACUAAGAAGCCCCGGCUAACUACGUGCCCGCAGCCGCGGUAAUACGUAGGGGGCAAGCGUUAUCCGGAUUUACUGGGUGUAAAGGGAGCGUAGGCGGUGUAGCAAGUCAGAAGUGAAAGCCCGGGGCUCAACUCCGGGACUGCAUUUGAAACUGUUUUACUAGAGUGCAGGAGAGGUAAGUGGAAUUCCUAGUGUAGCGGGGAAAUGCGUAGAUAUUAGGAGGAACACCAGUGGCGAAGGCGGCUUACUGGACGGUAACUGACGUUGAGGCACGAAAGUGUGGGGAGCAAACAGGAUUAGAUACCCGUGUAGUC